UACGAAGGGUGCAAGCGUUACUCGGAAUUACUGGGCGUAAAGCGUGCGUAGGUGGUGAGUUAAGUCUGUCGUGAAAGCCCCGGGCUCAACCUGGGAAUGGCGAUGGAUACUGGCUCGCUAGAGUGCGGUAGAGGAGAGUGGAAUUCCCGGUGUAGCAGUGAAAUGCGUAGAGAUCGGGAGGAACAUCAGUUGCGAAGGCGGCUCUCUGGACCAGCACUGACACUGAGAGACGAAAGCUAGGGGAGCGAAUGGG
rnacentral:rRNA from 1 species